UACGUAGGGUGCAGGCGUUAGUCGGAAUUACUGGGCGUAAAGCGUGCGCAGGCGGUUGUGCAAGACCGAUGUGAAAUCCCCGGGCUUAACCUGGGAAUGGCAUUGGUGACUGUACGGCUAGAGUGUGUCAGAGGGGGGUAGAAUUCCACGUGUAGCAGUGAAAUGCGUAGAGAUGUGGAGGAAUACCGAUGGCGAAGGCAGCCCCCUGGGAUAACACUGACGCUCAUGCACGAAAGCGUGGGGAGCAAACAGG
rnacentral:rRNA from 1 species